UAUGUGAUCGUCUCUCGCAUAUCAAUAAGCGGAGGAAAAGAAACUAACAAGGAUUCCCCUAGUAACGGCGAGUGAAGCGGGAAGAGCUCAAAUUUGAAAUCUUAAAGGGUUUCCCUUUACGAAUUGUAGUUUAAAGAAGUGUUUUCUGUUGAGGUUUUGGUAAAAGUUCUUUGGAAUAGGACAUCAUAGAGGGUGAGAAUCCCGUAUUUGACCUUUACUUUCAACUUUGUGAUACACUUUCAAAGAGUCGGAUUGUUUGGGAAUGCAGUCCAAAAUGGGUGGUAAAUUUCAUCUAAAGCUAAAUAUUGGCGAGAGACCGAUAGCGAACAAGUACCGUGAGGGAAAGAUGAAAAGAACUUUGAAAAGAGAGUUAAACAGUACGUGAAAUUGUCAAAAGGGAAGCGUUUGACACCAGUGUUGUUUUUCUGAAAAUCAAUUAAAGAACUGUUUAUGCUAAGUUGUUUAGACUUUGUCAGCUAACUGUUUAGUUUUGAGCUUUUCUUUAAUGCACUUUUCAGUUAACAAGUCAACAUCAAUUUCUUUUGCUGUAAAAAAGCUUGAGGAAGGUGGCUUGAGAUUCGUCUUAAGUGUUUAUAGCCUCUUGCCUAUGCAGUCGGAGAGAUUGAGGUCUGCAGCGUAGAUCCUUCGGGGCUAAAUGCAUUUGUGCUAAGUUAUAACAUUUUAUAGACAACUUGUUGACUAUGAUUUGUCUUGUAGCUUACUCGCUUAUGUUAUUUUACCUACGCUUAGGAUGUUGAAGACUCUACAGAGAUA
rnacentral:rRNA from 1 species